rnacentral:rRNA from 1 species
GCUCAGAACGAAAGCUGGCGGCGUGCUUCCACAUGCAAGUCGAACGAACCUUCGGGUUAGUGGCGGACGGGUGAGUAACGCGUGACCAUCUGCCCUCAGGAGGGGGAUAACGGUUGGAAACGACCGCUAAUACCCCAUAUGCCGAGAGGUGAAAAGAAAUUCGCCUGAGGAUGAGCUCGCGUCUGAUUAGCUAGUUGGUGUGGUAAUGGCGCACCAAGGCUUCGAUCAGUAGCUGGUCUGAGAGGAUGAUCAGCCACACUGGGACUGAGACACGGCCCAGACUCCUACGGGAGGCAGCAGUGGG